UACGAACCGUACAAACGUUAUUCGGAAUCACUGGGCUUAAAGGGCGCGUAGGCGGCCAUGUAAGUGAGGUGUGAAAUCCCUCGGCUCAACCGAGGAACUGCGCUUCAUACUGCAUGGCUUGAGGGAGACAGGGGUAAGCGGAACUGAUGGUGGAGCGGUGAAAUGCGUUGAUAUCAUCAGGAACACCGGUGGCGAAAGCGGCUUACUGGGUCUCUUCUGACGCUGAGGUACGAAAGCUAGGGAGCGAACGGG
rnacentral:rRNA from 1 species